UACGAAGGGGGCUAGGCGUUGCUCGGAUCACUGGGCGUAAAGCGCACGUAGGCGGAUUGUUAAGUCAGGGGUGAAAUCCUGGAGCUCAACUCCAGAACUGCCUUUGAUACUGGGGAUCUCGAGUCCGGAAGAGGUGAGUGGAACUCCGAGUGUAGAGGUGAAAUUCGUAGAUAUUCGCAAGAACACCAGUGGCGAAGGCGGCUCACUGGCCCGAUACUGACGCUGAGGCACGAAAGCGUGGGAGCAAACAGG
rnacentral:rRNA from 1 species